UGGCCAGCCCAGGAAGAACAACACAUCGUCAUCCUCGAGGUUUCCCCAGUUAACACUCCAACAUAUGACGAAGCAAGAAUAUAAAAGGCUCCAGAACCGUCGCUCAUCAUCGCAACAACGCAGGAUGACCCUUCUUCAUCGGCCAUAGCUCCGACGAUUGUACCAACGAAUCUCUUCGACCCAACCAUAGGACACAUGAAAGAGGCACAAAAUACCUCUUCCAGUAGCCUCUUCUCUUCUGACCAGAGCGACACGGCCGAUGACGGAGAUAACAGCUUCCAGCAAGCAACAAAUCAACUCUCAGCUGACGCCAAGGCCAAACUCUGUUGGCGCAAAUUCAGGGCUAACUCAUGAGAGCACUAGCGCGUGCAGCAAGAAGGAGCGCGCGUUGCAGCGCCACCGCUCAGAUCCGGUCGGACCGGUUUGGGAGGUUGGUCAAACCGGUUUCGCCGAGAGUCCGGCGAGGAUCCGAUGAACGCCCGGGAGGGACCCCGUCAGGGCAAGCGCACACAGGUUGUUUUAGGGUCGGCAGGCCACCUAGAACGUGUUCAAAUACCGUCGAGACGAAGGAAGGACAUCAGAUUGGGGUUGGAGAAGCUAGCAUUUGAAAAGGGCAAAGUAAAGGAGAAAAGAUAAAAAUUGUAUUUUUGAUCGAUUGGAUACCCUCAAUUGGCUGUGGCCCUUUAUAUUUAUCCUAUUAUAAAGACUAUCCCUCAAUCGAUUGGGGAGGGAUAGUCUUAUCCUAUUAGGAGUUGAAUCUUAUGCAA